rnacentral:rRNA from 1 species
GUCAAAACGACUCUCGGCAACGGAUAUCUCGGCUCUCGCAUCGAUGAAGAACGUAGCGAAAUGCGAUACUUGGUGUGAAUUGCAGAAUCCCGUGAACCAUCGAGUCUUUGAACGCAAGUUGCGCCCGAAGCCCCCGGCUGAGGGCACGUCUGCCUGGGCGUCA